rnacentral:tRNA from 1 species
UAAAGAAUAGUGUAAGGAAGCACUAGGAGCUUUGACUUCCUAAGUAGGGGUUCGAUUCCUCUUUUUUUAG